UACGAAGGGGGCUAGCGUUGUUCGGAAUCACUGGGCGUAAAGCGCAUGCAGGCGGACUGAUAAGUCAGGGGUGAAAGCCCGAGGCUCAACCUCGGAACUGCCUUUGAUACUGUCAGUCUUGAGUCCGGGAGAGGUGAGUGGAACUCCGAGUGUAGAGGUGAAAUUCGUAGAUAUUCGGAAGAACACCAGUGGCGAAGGCGGCUCACUGGCCCGGUACUGACGCUGAGAUGCGAAAGCGUGGGGAGCAAACAGG
rnacentral:rRNA from 1 species